AUGAAGGAAGGCUGAGGGGUUAAAAUCAUUGCUGGGUGAUUUCACCACUACUGCCCCAUAUUCAUACUCUCGGUAAAUGAAUGAGGAGAGCCCCAUGUGGGAUUACAAACUUGCUGGAAAUGGAUGAGAAACCUUCUGCUCUGCUGGAGUUUAUCUUGAGUGUGCCUUAAAAUUCCAUUUCAUGGAGAACUGUGCGUGGUUGAAUUUUGAUUGAUUACUCAAUUAACUGAUGUAUUGGUAGAGUGAUUAAGAAAGAAGACUUUGGGAUCAGACCAACCUGGUUUUGAAUUCAAGCUCAGCAACUUACUAGGUAAGGAGGAGAAAAGAAAGAAGGAAAAAUUGGAAAGAUAAAUGGGGUCUUUCCAGUGAAGGCUCAAUUUUCCUACAUAAUUAAGAGUUUGGAAUUCGGGCAAUAUCAAGAACCACAUCUGUCCUGAAAUCAAUUAUCUCUGUUUGAAACACAAGAAAUAAGAAGACCAUUUUGAGAAGAACAGAGAGUAGCCUUAAGAAAAUCCCUGUCGCAAGCACUCUGGGAUUUGGACUCAAAUGCUAAUUAUACAGAACCACUUGGGUGCCCAGCUGCUGUCCAUUCUCUACACUUAUCCCACCUGAUGGAAGGCUGUUAAGAAAAACAUCACUGCAAUGCCUAAUAAACAGACAUGGGUCCCAGACCCAAUAAGAGUGAAACCAUCCCCCUAUUUAAAUGAAAUUAUGGCUGAUGAGAAAGACAAAUUAAUUUCUCUGUCCCUAGUAUUACACAAAACUUUGGAUGCUGCCAUUGUUACAAUUUUAUUUUCCCCAGGAGCUCAGAGUCCCACCUUCAUUCUUUUUGUUUAAUGCUUAAGCUUGCCUGUCCACCUAUGGAAGACUAGAAUGAGCAAAGACCAUGUAUUCAAUGAUCUGUAAAUCUAACAGGAAACAAUAUAAUAAAUAUAUUGUGUUUGCUAACCAAAUCUGUGAAUGAUUAGAUCGACUGGUUAAUGAUUAGAUGGAUUAACACAUCAUUUCUAUUUUCUCUCUCCUCCCCUACUUCUUGUUUUAAUGAUACCUUCC
rnacentral:lncRNA from 1 species